CCUACGGGUGGCAGCAGUGGGGAAUAUUGGGCAAUGGGCGCAAGCCUGACCCAGCAACGCCGCGUGAAGGAAGAAGGCUUUCGGGUUGUAAACUUCUUUUAAGGGGGGAGAGCGGAAGACGGUACCCCUUGAAUAAGCCACGGCUAACUACGGGCCAGCAGCCGCGGUAAUACGUAGGUGGCAAGCGUUGUCCGGAUUUACUGGGUGUACAGGGCGUGCAGCCGGAGAGACAAGUCAGAUGUGAAAUCCACGGGCUCAACCCGUGAACUGCAUUUGAAACUGUGUCCCUUGAGUGUCGGAGAGGUGAUUGGAAUUCCAGGUGUAGCGGUGGAAUGCGUAGAUAUAAGGAAGAACACCAGUGGCGAAGGCAGAUUACUGGACGAUAACUGACGGUGAGGCGCGAAAGCGUGGGGAGCAAACAGGAUUAGAUACCCGAGUAGUC
rnacentral:rRNA from 1 species